UGGGGAAUAUUGCACAAUGGAGGGAACUCUGAUGCAGCGACGCCGCGUGAACGAAGAAGGCUUUCGAGUCGUAAAGUUCUUUUAUAUGGGAAGAUCAUGACGGUACCAUAAGAAAAAGCCCCGGCUAACUACGUGCCAGCAGCCGCGGUAAUACGUAGGGGGCUAGCGUUGUCCGGAAUCACUGGGCGUAAAGGGUUCGCAGGCGGAAAUGCAAGUCAGGUGUAAAAGGCAGUAGCUUAACUACUGUAAGCAUUUGAAACUGCAUAUCUUGAGAAGAGUAGAGGUAAGUGGAAUUUUUAGUGUAGCGGUGAAAUGCGUAGAUAUUAAAAAGAAUACCGGUGGCGAAGGCGGCUUACUGGGCUCAUUCUGACGCUGAGGAACGAAAGCGUGGGUAGCAAACAGG
rnacentral:rRNA from 1 species